rnacentral:rRNA from 1 species
GUCCACGCCCUAAACGAUGCAUAUUUGGUGUGGGCAGUUCAUUCUGUCCGUGCCGGAGCUAACGCGUUAAAUAUGCCGCCUGGGGAGUACAGUCGCAAGGCUGAAACUCAAAGGAAUUGACGGGGGCCCGCACAAGCGGUGGAGCAUGUGGUUCAAUUCGACGCAACGCGAAGAACCUUACCUGGGCUCGAACGGCUUCUCAACGCCGGUAGAAAUAUCGGUACCCCGCAAGGGGGUGGAGUCGAGGUGCUGCAUGGCUGUCGU